rnacentral:rRNA from 1 species
AGCGAACGUUUGCGGCGGGCUUAACACAUGCAAGUCGAACGAGAAUCCCUUCGGGGAGGAAAGUGGCGCACGGGUGCGUAACACGUGGAUAACCAACCCAUUGGUUUGGGACAACACCGGGAAACUGGUGCUAAUACCAGAUGUGUCGCAGCUGUCUUCAGGCGGUUGCGAGAAAGGCCCGCAAGGGUCGCCAACGGACGGGUCCGCGUCCCAUCAGCUAGUUGGUGAGGUAAUGGCUCACCAAGGCAAAGACGGGUAGCUGGUCUGAGAGGAUGAUCAGCCACACUGGAACUGAGACACGGUCCAGACUCCUACGGGAGGCAGCAGUGGGGAAUAUUGCGCAAUGGGCGAAAGCCUGACGCAGCCACGCCGCGUGAGCGAUGAAGGUCUUCGGAUCGUAAAGCUCUGUGGGGGAGAAGAAGAAAGCCGGUGAAGAGCCGGCCCUGACGGUAUCCCCUUAGCAAGCACCGGCUAACUCCGUGCCAGCAGCCGCGGUAAUGU